ACGUGAAUACAUAGCGUAAUGAAGCGAACCGGGGGAACUGAAACAUCUAAGUACCCCGAGGAAAAGAAAUCAACCGAGAUUCCCCCAGUAGCGGCGAGCGAACGGGGAGCAGCCCAGAGUCUGAAUCAGCUUGUGUGUUAGUGGAACGGUCUGGAAAGUCCGACGGUACAGGGUGAUAGUCCCGUACACCAAAAUGCACAGGUUGUGAACUCGAAGAGUAGGGCGGGACACGUGGUAUCCUGUCUGAAUAUGGGGGGACCAUCCUCCAAGGCUAAAUACUCCUGACUGACCGAUAGUGAACCAGUACCGUGAGGGAAAGGCGAAAAGAACCCCGGCGAGGGGAGUGAAAAAGAACCUGAAACCGUGUACGUACAAGCAGUGGGAGCCUCUUUAUGGGGUGACUGCGUACCUUUUGUAUAAUGGGUCAGCGACUUAUAUUCUGUAGCAAGGUUAACCGUAUAGGGGAGCCGAAGGGAAACCGAGUCUUAACUGGGCGUUAAGUUGCAGGGUAUAGACCCGAAACCCGGUGAUCUAGCCAUGGGCAGGUUGAAGGUUGGGUAACACUAACUGGAGGACCGAACCGACUAAUGUUGAAAAAUUAGCGGAUGACUUGUGGCUGGGGGUGAAAGGCCAAUCAAACCGGGAGAUAGCUGGUUCUCCCCGAAAGC
rnacentral:rRNA from 1 species